rnacentral:lncRNA from 1 species
CUGCAUGUUCUUGAUCAGGAAAAGGUAUCUUUUUCACAGCAUAUGUUGACUCGUCUAGCUUAUGCUUGCAUUCAUAAACUCGUCCGAAUCCACCUUUCCCUACAAAUCAAAUAACAAAAAGAGAUCACUGGAAAGACUACUGCCAUGUAUAAAUCACAAAGAGUUAUCCUCUCUUUUUUAGAAGAGGAGUUUGGGGCAUUCUACAAAUCUUCCUAUUCAUCUUGAGACGAAAUGACAAUUUGAAAACUAAAUAUAAUAUUAGGUCAAUCCAAGUUGUUAUUAUUUAAAACACUUGUUACCUGAGUCAUUUCAGAAUAAAAAUCCAUCUUCUAAAUGUGAAGUUCAAUAAUUAGCUAAACAUCAUCAUUUUUUCUCUUCUAGGAAUAUAGAAUCAAACUAUUGGGCGGUCAAAAAUGUUACAUAAAAAGUGGUUUAAAAGUUUCAUUGGUGAUCGUAACUGCUAGGUAUAUCAAAAAAUAUAAAUCAGCAAUGAUGGAGAUUUUUCGGAUAUGUUAGACUGGUUGAGACACAACUUCAGGAAAGAACUAGAGUGUUAUGAGUGAUAAUAGUAAAGGGUACUUUAAUGAAAACCUUAGGCGAUUUCUUCUCGGAAAAAGAAAUGAUGCAUCAAAGUUCAUGUCCUGAUACCAACCAAAAAAUGGGUAGCUACAAGGAAAAGUAAACAUCUCUUAGCAGUUACAGGGGUAUUACACCAUUCACUAAUAAUGUUCCUAAGUAUCUCGGGAGAGAGGCACUCAUGACUAUCACAUCUUUAACAAAUAAGAUACCUACCAAGAUUCUCUCACUCUGGGUUUUAGGACACCUCUUAAGUGUUAUUCAAGAUACCUUCCUAAUCUGUAAAUUGACAACCAAUUUAGCUUUAAGAGUAUCUGGAUGUAGUGUUUUCACUCAUGUAAAUAAUCGUGAGAAAUUAGAUCCUUGAGCUAAGAAAUGUGUGUUUAGUAGGUUAUGCCCCCAACUCAAAGAGGGUACAAGUGUUAUAACCCGAGCUCUAAGAAAAUAUUUGUUAAAAUGGAUCUCGCUUUCUUAGAGUCAAUGAUUUUUGGCUCUCCUUUCUGGGGGAAAAGAUGGGAGAAAAUUCAAACUCCUUUGAUAAUAAUUAGAUUCUCUACCACUGAUAACAAUUGAACCAAAUACCUUGAUAGAAAUAGAGUCAGGUGAUACAGAAUCAAGUGAUUUAACUAGUAAAAAUUUGGAUUUCUAAGCCUAGAAAGCCAACCCAUGACAUUUGUAGAGGUAAAAGUGGUGAUCAAACAAGUACAAAAGAACUGAAUGUCUACUCAAGGAGAAACACCCCAGAUUUUUCAUACUUGUACUGAGCCUUCAGGUGAUCUCCAUAUAUUAUUCACUCACAUAGAUCUUCCUAACUUCCAGUCUAUUCACUCUGAGCCUAAACAUCUGAGCUUGUCCCGUUGCAUUACAAAAAGGUACCAGGAGUUGUGCCAAAUACCCUAUGUCUAAUUUUGUGUUAUAAAAAUCUGUUAUCAAUAUCUUCUGCAUUUACCUCACAGCUAUCUAGUAUGGAGAUAGCAACGAGUGUGCGGGAUGCUUUAAAGGUUCCCGAAUGGAAGGAGGUUGUUCUUGAGGAAAUGAGAACGCUUGAAGAAAUAAUAAUAAUAAUAAUAAUAAUAAUAAAAGGUUUUUUACUUUUUGGUAUACAUCUUGUAUGUGGGCAUGUUUCACCCUUUUUUAAUGAAAUUAUCACCUUAUCAAAAAUAAUAAUAAUAUAAAAGAGGAUUUGGGAGGUCAUAGAGUUGCCAAAGGAGAAGCUGCAAAUUGUGUUCAAAAAACUGCAUAGUUUCUAGAGAGAUACAAGGCGCCCCUAGCCGCUAAAGGGUAUAACCAGACGUAUCAAUUGACUAUCUAGAGACAUUUGCACUAGUGGCAAAACUGAAUAUGGUACUCUUAAGUUUUAUCCGGUGUUCUCAAAAACGAAAAGAGCAAAAAAGCGCCCAAGCCCGGAGGGCUUGAACCAAAAAGCGAGAAGUGAAGGCGCACAAUUUACGAAAGAUUCAAGAAAUAUCAAACAUAUAUGAAUUUCGCACUACAACAACCGAAUUAUAAUUAAAAUAACUAAUCUCAACAUCCAGUAUGCAAUAAUGCCGACAUUGGUCCAACUUUCCAAAGUUGAGAUUCAAAGAGCCAACUAAUUCUCAUUGAGAUCAUUUAAUGCAUUACUGUUUAAGCGCACACUUCCACUAAAGCACAUGGCUUCAUCCAUGAAGCGACAACCUCUUGUUUCACAUAGCUUUGGCUGUUAAUGACACUGCUCUUACCAUUUUGCAGUCAAUCUACACAAGUCACCUGACAACUAGAUGAAGACGUUUAUAUAGAUCCACCUCCAGGCUUUGAAGUAAAGUUGGCUUUAAGGUUUAUGGAUUAAGAAAGUCUCUAUAUGGCCUAAAACAGUCACAAAGAGCUUGGUUCAACAGAUUUUACUAGGUUUGUAAAGAAACAAGAGUCCAAGGGUAUCCAAGGACAAGUAGACCACACCAUGUUCACAAAAUAUUUAAAAGGGAAGAGAUAUGUAGUUCUUAAAAGGAAGGAAGAGCAUUUUACCUAGUCGCCGGAUCUCCUGAAAAUCUACGGUAUAUCGAGUCUGCAUGCUACAUAUUUAUAUUUCAAAAAUCAAAUCAAAAUAUUUUAAACAUAUGUCACAAGAAUACUCAGAGAAAAGACAAAUUUGUAAAGAGAAGCCCAAGGCCAAAAUUCAGAGCAAAAAACAAUAUAACAUUUUGGAAGCAACAUAAAUAAUUAUCUACAAAAUACUAAAUAGGUAAAUUUGGCCAGUUAGGCUCUUUUUUUAAACACAAAAUCAAACCAAAUAGUAUAAAUUCUUAAAAAACUUUAAUACCGGACUUAACCAAACAAAAAAAGAGUGGAUUGUCACACCCUUCUUUUACCCCCAAAAUUUCACAUAGCCAAUUAGGCCAAGUUGCAAAAAAUCAACUUAUUUCGAAAAGCACUUUUUAUCAAAAGUGCUUUAAAAAGGUGCUUUGGAAGAGUAGUAGUUUGUAUUUAGUUAAAUCAUUUGAAAAGUGCUUUUUUUUGUUAUUUGUGUUAUGCCAAUAUUUCCAAAGAGUGCUUUUAAAUGUCAAAUUACAAAAAAAUGUACAUAAGUUGUUAUCUACUUAUCAAUUAGCAAGUCGGCUUACAAAAUUGGUUAAACACUUACUUUGGUUAAUAAAUUAGUGUUAAAUUUAAUAAUAUAUGUGCAUCAUUUAAAGAUAACACUAAUUACAGAGAUAAUGAGCCUGCAUAUUAUGAUUAACCGUGGUGCACUUGCGGGAAACUCCUUGCCGAGGGCCUGUGCACCCCCGGAUUAGUCGGGGCUCGAAGAGACUCGGACAUCCGGUGCAAAUCAAAAAAAAAAUGAGCCUGCAUAUUAUGAUUUGUAAUUUCAAAUUUAAUUUAAGAACUCUUAAAUUUAACUUUUUAAUGGAAUAUGCCGACCAUAAAGAAAAGAAGCAAAUCUAAACCAAAAUGAACUUAAAAAUUAAAAAGAAAAUCGCAUUGAAGGAUAUUAUUGGUACUCUUAAAAUAAUGAUGUCAAAUAAAAUAGUGCAAAAUGUGCGGUAAAUACUAUAAUUGGCUAAAAUAAAACAACACAACCUUCUAACUUCUUUUUUUGAAUCAAAUCCUACUUAAAAUAACUCACAUUAUCAUAUAUCUAUACUAUAUUAAAAGCCUUUAGCGAAAUGUCAAUCGUCUUUUUUACCCUUAAAAAAUUCAAUUCAUACUGGACAAAAUAGUCGUUUAGUUAUUUCUCAAAUAUUUAGAAAUAGUUAUUUAAUUAAUUCUUGUUAUACUGUUUUUAGAUUUAGGAAUUCUUUUUUAGUAAAUGAAAUUUUCGUCGUUUAGUUAAAACAUUGAAGGGCUUCAUAUCAACAAAAGGGUAUAAAACUCAAGCUAUAUAGAUUUAGUUUUGGCAUUCUACAGAAUUUAUGUAUUAAAAAACAAAUACACAUUCUAAAAACACUAUAAUUAGAUAUAAAUUAUCUCAAUAUUUACAAUUAUUAUAACCAUUAACUCAACAUAAAUAUUUAAAUUGUAUACUUUUAUCUUAUUACAAUUGUAUGUCCUUAUCUGUUGAAAAUAAACAAUCUCUUCAAUUUAAAAAAACAUAAAUAACAUAUGUAACUAAGUAAUGCAUAGAUUAAAGGGAUAAUACAUAAUUCCCCCUUGUACUUGUCUCGUUUUCAGUUGCACACUUAAACUUUGCAAGGGUCUAUGACCCCCACUAUAUUUAUUUGAAGUGGUAUAAAUACCAUCUCCGGUACUUAUACCACUUCAAACAAAUAUAGGGGGGUCAUAGGACCCCUGCGAAGUUUAAGUGUGCCAAUGAAAAAACAAGACAAGUACAAGAGGGAAAUUAUGUAUUAUCCCUAAAUUAAAAUAGAAACUAUUCGUUAUUAAAAAACUUAAAACGUUAAUAUGAAAGAAAUUCAACUUUAUAUCUGCACUUUUUCUUUGUAUAAUCAAAUUCUUGUAUGAUAUAUUCUUAUAAUAAAUUGCAUAUAGAGAUUAAAUUUAUUGGUCUACUCAUCAAGUUCUUUGGCCUGUCGAUGAAUAUUGCUUGAAAGCUUUUUAUAUAAAUCAUAUAAAAAAGUUAAGUCUAUUAGAUAAAUCCCGUCAAAGAAACGAAAAGGGUAUCUAGGCACAAGAGACAUAAAAGAAAAUCCACCUUUGGUUUUGGUUAUAACUUUUUUUUAUUUUUAUAAUAUAUUUUAUCACAAUUUAGAUUUAGUUUCAGCACUAUUUUCUUAGGAGUCUAUUUAUUUUCGUCCUUUCUCUUUUAACUUUGCAUAACCAUCAUCAAUCUUUUUAAAAAAAAUCUGAUACUUAUCUCAAUUGAUCCAAUUUGUCAGUAACUUUGUAUUUCAUUUCGAUUUCAUCUAUGUCCAUCGACUUCUUUUGAUGUAUCACGUGUUGUAUCAAAUGUAAUACUCCCUUCCCUCCGUUUCAUAUUAAAUGAAAUACUUUCCUUUUUAGUCUGUUCCAAAGUAAAUGACACAUUUCUAAAUUUGGAAAUAAUUCAACUUUAAACACUUUCAUUUUAAUUUUUAUAGCCACACAAAUGUCAUGAUCCCACAAACUUUUUAAGACCACAAGUUCCUAAAGUCUCUUCUUUUUUCUUAAACUCCGUGUCGAGUCAAACUAACUCAUUUAAUAUGAAACGGGGAGUAAUAAAAUUAGUUGUAGUUAAUAUUAAUAUCUUUGAUCCCAAACCCCGUUUGGAUCUCGACCCUAAACCUAAUUUCUUAAGAAACUUCCAUUAUACUUCUAUUUUGCUCAACUAAAUUAAAAAAAAAACACUAAACUCGUUCAAGCCUCGCUUUAAACUUUCCCCGAAAUCUCAAACUAAUCCAGUGAAAAAUAGCUUAACAUCACACGUAGAUCAAAUAAUGAAUUCAAACAAAGAAACAUCUUAUAAUGGAAUAGAGGAAAUUAUGUAAAAGAAAACGGAAGAAAACGAGAUAUAUUAGUAAACUAAAAAAAAAAAAAGGAAAAGAAAUGUACCUUAAAAAUGGAAGCACCUUUUAAACUCUUGAAAUCUGGCGUUGUACCGGAACUUGACAGGAAUUCGAACUAUGACCGCGAGCCUGACCGGAAAUCCCGCCGGUAAUGAGUGACCAACCCCUUUUUUGUUGAUGAAAUGGAGUAACUAAUGCAAGAUAUUGUCUAGGCGAUGUUUGUGAGUACGUCAGUCGAUAUUUAGGCGUAUGGACUGUAUUGGGAUAUCAAAAUUGGAGAAGAGAAUCUGAUUGAGAGAUUGAAGGAUGGCCAAUAGUGAAAAGGGCGUACGUUGCUGUGAAAGAUUUUCUACCUGUGAAGUGGUGAUUGCUUGAAUUUUCUCUAAGAAGAACAACGAAGGAAAGUGAUUCUCCGUGGGAAGGGCCUAGUGUAUUGUCCUGAUGCUGUAAAAUGGAUGUAAUGUAGGUGUUUGUGGAAAUGUCAACGAGAGCCGCUGGAGAUGAAAAUUACCGGAGAAUAGGGUUGUCAGGUGAGUGGAGUGAGGGUUUUUUUGGAGGUGGAAAUUAACUGGUGGAGAAGAAGAGGUGUAAUGAAAACAGGGGAAGUGACUGGUGAUUGCUGCUUCUAACGGCGGCUGAGAAUGUGGUGGUUUUUCUGGCUGUGUUCAGGCGGUGGAGAAAC